rnacentral:lncRNA from 1 species
GUUCCAUAGGGUUUUUUCAGAGAUUGAGUGUUGAAGGCACUGGAUUCAGUAUGGAAUUGGGAAGGUGAAUGAGUGACUUGUCUUUGCCUCUCAUCCUGAAGAAGUAUGUUAUAAGCACUGUCCAAUGAGGGAGGGGGUUGCAUCAUGAGAAUGUUACUUCUAACACCUAUAUAUAUGUCAUUCAGCCCCAUAAGAAACUGGUGCAACUUAUUUUCA